AGAGUUUGAUCCUGGCUCAGGAUGAACGCUGGCGGCGUGCUUAACACAUGCAAGUCGAACGGAACUACUCCGAUGAGAAUCUUCGGAAAGGAUUUGGUUUAGUUUAGUGGCGGACGGGUGAGUAACGCGUGGGUAACCUGCCCUAUACAGGGGGAUAACAGUUGGAAACGACUGUUAAUACCGCAUAAGCGCACAGGAGCGCAUGCUCCGGUGUGAAAAACUCCGGUGGUAUAGGAUGGACCCGCGUCUGAUUAGCUGGUUGGCGGGGUAACGGCCCACCAAGGCGACGAUCAGUAGCCGGCCUGAGAGGGUGAACGGCCACAUUGGGACUGAGACACGGCCCAAACUCCUACGGGAGGCAGCAGUGGGGAAUAUUGCACAAUGGGGGGAACCCUGAUGCAGCGACGCCGCGUGAGCGAAGAAGUAUUUCGGUAUGUAAAGCUCUAUCAGCAGGGAAGAAAAUGACGGUACCUGACUAAGAAGCCCCGGCUAACUACGUG
rnacentral:rRNA from 1 species